rnacentral:sRNA from 1 species
UAGGUGCUCAGGUUCAGGGCUUCGACGGGGAUGGUUUUGGAACUCGGGAGCCCUGAGCGUUCCCCUCCUCUGUCCCCCAGGACAUCCUGAACCACGUGUUCGACGACGUAGAGAGCUUUGUAUCGAGGCUGCAGAAGUCGGCGGAGGCGGCCAGGGUGCUAGAGCACCGGGAACGCGGCCGCAGGACACGGCGCCGGGCGGCUGGGGAGGGCCUGCUGACGCUGCGGGCCAAGCCGCCUUCGGAGGCCGAGUACACCGACGUGCUGCAGAAGAUCAAGUACGCCUUCAGCCUGCUGGUGAGGACGCGUCCGCCCAAGGGCCGGGGCGCGGGCACGGCGAACCAGCCCCGUCCCCGCACCCACGCCAACCACAUCCCUCCCCACGCCCCAGGCCCGGCUGCGCGGCAACAUCGCCGACCCCUCCUCUCCGGAGCUGUUGCACUUCCUUCUCGGGCCUCUGCAGAUGAUUGUGAACACGUCGGGGGGGCCGGAGUUCGCGAGCAGCGUGCGGCGGCCGCACCUGACAUCGGAUGCCGUGGCGCUGCUGCGGGACAACGUCACUCCAUGUGAAAACGAGCUCUGGACCUCGCUGGGGGACUCGUGGACCCGCCCCGGGCUGGAGCUGCCUCCGGACGAGGGACCCCCAUACAGACCCGAGUUCUUCAGCGGCUGGGAGCCGCCGGUCACUGACCCGCAGGGCCGCGCCUGGGAGGACCCA